rnacentral:rRNA from 1 species
CACGGGGGGAGCAAGCGUUGUUCGGAAUCACUGGGCGUAAAGGGCGUGUAGGCGGUCAGGUAAGUAGGACGUGAAAUCCCUCGGCUCACCCGAGGACCUGCGUCCCAUACUGCUUGGCUUGAGUAUGGGAGAGGAUGAGGGAAUUCCUGGUGUAGCGGUGAAAUGCGUAGAUAUCAGGAGGAACACCGGUGGCGAAGGCGCUCAUCUGGCCCAAUACUGACGCUGAGGCGCGAAAGCUAGGGGAGCAAACGGG